GCUUUUUUUUUACUUUGAGAAAAUUAGAGUGUUUCAAGCAGACUUUUGUCUUGAAUACUUCAGCAUGGAAUAAUAGAGUAGGACCUUGGUUCUAUUUUGUUGGUUUCGAGCCUUGGUAAUGGUUAAUAGGAACGGUUGGGGGCAUUCGUAUUUAACUGUCAGAGGUGAAAUUCUUAGAUUUGUUAAAGACGAACGGCUGCGAAAGCAUUUGCCAAGGACGUUUUCAUUAAUCAAGAACGAAAGUUAGGGGAUCGAAGACGAUCAGAUACCGUCGUAGUCCUAACCAUAAACUAUGCCGACUAGGGAUUGGAGGUCGUCAUUUUCCGACUCCUUCAGCACCUUGAGAG
rnacentral:rRNA from 1 species